GGGGAUUUAGCUCAGCGGCAUAAGCGCCUGCCUUGCAAGCAGGCAGUUACGAGUUCGAUCCCCA
rnacentral:tRNA from 1 species